GGAAGUCUGAGGCGAAAUAGCUGCUCUCUGAAAUGGCUGCAUAAACAAGAUGGGAACAGCAGAAUCAUCAAUGGGAUAAGACCGUCCAAACACCAUCCUGGAAUCAGGACCAGCCAUGCUGCCGGCUCCUGAUACUGAACUUCCCAGCCUCCAGAUUUGUGAGUCUGUAUAUUUCAGGCAAAUGAUCCAGUUAGUGGCAUUCUGUUACAGACUAAAACAGAUAACG